UCCUGUCUCAUUCAAAUACUUUCUCUCCAGUUUGGCCUGUGAGGCUCUACAGAGCAAAUGGAGACUUUCCCUUGGAGUGAUCUGGGUGGCUGUUCUGAAAGUGGGCUCAGCUCAUUUCCACUCAUUGCUGAACUUCUCUCCCUUUUACUGCACCCCAGUGUUUUGGUUUGAAGACUCAGGAUGCGCUCUCCUUCCCCGCUUUGUGCCCCUCUAAGAUGAAGACCUCAAGCAUCGUCACUGCUCUCAGCAUUUCAUUAACGUCCUUCCUCAGCACAGCAGCAGUGAUGGUUUAUGUGGCGAGUGGUGCUGGUAAGCCUGGCAAGGCACUGUUUGCCACGCAGGAGCCAAGUGAGGGCUGUCAGCAGCUCUCUGGGCAGAGGACCCCAGCAGCUAAGGGCACACUGGGCAGCUCAGCCCACGCAGCGCCCUUUAAGGAGCGCAGAAUGCCGGUGAGCUGAGGUGUGUGUUCAGCUACAGCUGUCAGGCUGGAAGCAAAUGCAAGCAGCUGCCUAAUGUACCCCCGCCCCAUCCCCAGGGACUGUCUGCCCAGGGUGAGACCACUGAAUUCAGUCUGUUAAACAUACAGCGAGCAGCUGGGUGAGGAGCACUCGUGGGUUAUUAGACUCUAAUUAGCCAAGCCAGGGACAUCUGUCAUCUGAGUGUUUCUUCUCAGUGGCUUGGCUUAGGCAAGCUCCAGGUGUCGUAGCAGAGCUUAUGUUGUUCGGAGCAGCACCCCAAAGGCUGCUUUAUUCCUGUAAAUUCAAGAUUACUCUCUGGAUGCUUGUGAGUCCGUGCAGCAUCCCAGUGGGACCCGAGGGAUCUGGUAUCUUGUAUGCUGACUGUGAGUUGCAGGCUGGUGUCCCUAGUUUGCUUCCUCAAGUGAGUGUGUUAUCAUAUAGUAAUGCUUCAUCUUCCUCCAGUUGCUUGCUGGAUAGAAACACAAAGUCCGUUUGAUCUGGCGAAGUGUUUUCUCUAGGUUUUGAGAAAAAUCCAGGUGACUUUAUUCUUUCUUCUCUGUUCUUACGCUUGGUUUGUUGGAGUUGGAAACAGUUCUCUCUACCUGUUCUUCCCUCUGAGCACGCUGUGCAUUAGGGAAUUAUUAUAGCUGCAGCCCAGUAACUCAGCAUGUCAUAGUUCUUUAAUUUUUGUGGGGACUGGCCUCUGAGCUCUAUGUGCUAAGUUGAUGGGAAGUAUUAUAGUUGUUUAAUAUUUAUGCUGCAGCAGCGCUGGAGGCUCCAGUCAGUUAAAGAUUCUUCUGGACAAAGUAUGGAGAAUACCCAGCAGCAAGCAGAAUCAAAGCCUCGCUUUGUGCAUAGAAAAAUAACUGUUCUUUUUGUGGUCUUCUAUAAGCUGAUUUUUUCAUUGCUUUAAAGUAUUAUUAUGGUUGUCAGAGAUGCAUAUAUUUAUGCCAACAAAUGAAUGAAGAAGCAUUUGUAGUGCUGGGGACUGAGGGGAUGUCAGUGGUGCCUUUGUUGAAACCAGUCGCAAGAAGCAAGAGCCUUUAGAAGCCAGGGAUGUCUCUGAAAACACAUGACGAGGCUCCCUGGGACUGAGCACCAGUGCCAGGACUCUGAGAGAGGGGGAGAGAACGAAGACCCUGAGGAAGCAGCGGUUGCACACACACUGGUAGCAUGGGCCGGACUUAAAUCCCAGAGCAAGAGCCUGGCAAGGAAAAGAGCUUGCUUGUUGCAGUAGGAGGGAGAUGUGUGGCCAAAUUCUUCAAUUGAAAUUAAUGUGAUCUUCAAACCCCGAGAAGCCCGAGUCUACCAACAAACAGUCUACUGCGACAUCUCAGGCCGUGAGACCAGGCUGCCCCUGCGCAUCAAAGGGAGCGGCAUAGGGCCCCAGCUCCGCUUCAGCUUUGACCAGCUGGACAUCAGGAAGGUUUUUGUUGGAUCAGCCCACAGCUCUGAGCUGCUGCUUUCCACUGCUGAGGAGCUGGAAGGUCGGAGGCCAGUGGGGACCCAGGAAAGGAUGCGGUUUGUGGAGGUGGAGCCCCUCCCCUCGGGAGCAGAGGAGUGACUUUGGAGACCUCAGCUAUGAGGGGACGCCCUGCGCAGCACUUGGCCGUUGCCGGGAGAGGCUCUCCAAAUCCUCGCUGCAAGAGGGGCUCCCCAGCACCUGCGCAUCUGGUGGAUGGUAGCGUAUUGGGGCAACUGGAAUAGGUAUCAUUCUUCAUCGCUGUAGCUGACCUGUGGUAGGACUGAUGAGGUGCGUUGCCUCACUUAUCUGUUCUUCUGCCUGAAUGAGGGUCUUGUAGGUGAAUUCUUUUGUACAUGUGUAUUGUAUUAAUAUCUGUAUGAAUGCAAAACCAAGUGAAUAAAAGCUAUUUUCCGCUUU